GUAGCAUAAUCAAUAGUCUUUUAAUUGGAGACUGGAAUGAACGGCUAGAUAAAAAGUUUACUGUCUAUAUAAUAAAUCUUGAAUUUUACUUUUAAGUGAAAAGGCUUAAAUAUAUUAAAGUGACGAUAAGACCCUAUAAAACUUUAUAAUAAAUUAUGAUUAUCUUAAAUUUAAAAUCAAAAUAUAUUUCAUAUAUUACUAUUUAGUUGGGGCGACUGAGAUAUAAAAAAUCUGUCUUUAGUAAAAAAUACUUAUAAUUAGAUCAAGAUCCUUUAUUAAGGAUUAAAAGGCUAAGUUACUUUAGGGAUAACAGCGUGAUUUUUCUUAAGAGUUCUUAUCGACAGAAUAAGUUGCGACCUCGAUGUUGAAUUAAAUUUUCUUUUAGGUGCAGGAGUUUAAAAAGUAGGUCUGUUCGACCUUUAAAAAUUU
rnacentral:rRNA from 1 species